rnacentral:rRNA from 1 species
AAUAGAUACCCUGGUAGUCCACGCCGUAAACGAUGUCGACUUGGAGGUUGUUCCCUUGAGGAGUGGCUUCCGGAGCUAACGCGUUAAGUCGACCGCCUGGGGAGUACGGCCGCAAGGUUAAAACUCAAAUGAAUUGACGGGGGCCCGCACAAGCGGUGGAGCAUGUGGUUUAAUUCGAUGCAACGCGAAGAACCUUACCUACUCUUGACAUCCAGAGAACUUAGCAGAGAUGCUUUGGUGCCUUCGGGAACUCUGAGACAGGUGCUGCAUGGCUGUCGUCAGCUCGUGUUGCGAAAUGUUGGGUUAAGUCCCGCAACGAGCGCAACCCUUAUCCUUUGUUGCCAGCGGUUCGGCCGGGAACUCAAAGGAGACUGCCAGUGAUAAACUGGAGGAAGUGGGGAUGACGUCAAGUCAUCAUGGCCCUUACGAGUAGGGCUACACACGUGCUACAAUGGCGUAUACAAAGAGAAGCGACCUCGCGAGAGCAAGCGGACCUCAUAAAGUACGUCGUAGUCCGGAUUGGAGUCUGC